AUGACCGAUGCAGACAACAAGGCCUUCAAUGAGCCAGGUACCUUGGUGCUACUGCUUCCGUGCGAUGGCAGCAGGGGUUGUUGUUCGGCAUCGGCUGCAAAAACAGCCAUGGUGAGCUCCUCUCCUUGCUUCCAGCAAUUCUCUUCUGACGUAGGUGGCCUGUGUUCAUCUCUAGCCCAUGUGUGUGUGUUGUGCUCGUUUGAGCAGGAAAUUACCAAGUGCCUCACUUGGUCUGGUUCAGGGGAGGGUGGUGCCCAUGGUGUGGCCGCAUUGCAAGAUGGGCCGCAUCAACAAGAGGGUGCCCUAAGGAAGAGUCAUAUGGUCAUUUUGGUGACUGAGGAUGCUGGACAAGAUCUCAUCACCCAAAGCAUGAAUUUGUGGACCUUGGCAUAUAUUCCUUGGUUCAGGCAAAUUAAGUGCCACUUGUGUGUACUUGUAGACUUCAGGGGCUCAUGUGUUCUUUGCUCUAUCGGAUGGAAUGUUGCCCUUGUAACUGUAGUCUGGGGCUCGCUGACCACAAGGACCAACUUGGAGCUCCUCUCUGCCCUUGCAGGUCGGCAUCACGACAACAAGGCCGCUGAGGCGAAGCAUGGGUUUUGGCACUACCUAUGUGUUCCCAUGCGAGAAUGGUCACUAUAUGUGAUAUGCUUGAUGAUAUCCCUUGGAAGAAGCAGAAGAAUCAAAGAAGAUGGCAAUCUCUAUGAGCAGCCUGUCACUGAUAUCGGAGGGAUGAGGGCAACGCUGGCGGAGCCAAUGGGGAUCAUGUUGCCUACGGUUCCUCCUCCUAUGACACCGCAGCCGCUGCAACUUGCACAUGUGAGCUCCUCUCUCUUCCUUUACUGGCUCUACCCCGUUGCUCUGAGCACAUCCAUCGAGCUAUGUUACUCUGGGUUCAUGGCCAUCGUGCCAUGGCAAUGUCUGCUUAUGGUUUGGACUCUGUAUUUGCUAAUCAGCCCCUUUGGUUUGAUGAACCAUGAGAAGAUCAAUUUUGGUAUGGAAUUUCUUGCCUGGAAGCAAAAUCAUAUGGUUGCAUUCAUCUAUUUCCUGGUAUACCAACUCAGGACUGCAAGGCAAAUCACAAUCCAUCAGACUACAACAACCCUCAUAGCAGAUGCAGCUAGCAAAGAUGAGAUCCAGGCGAGGUUGGUUGAGAGAGUUGCAAAACUUUCUGGUGGUGUGGCCAUCAUCAAGGUUGGAGCGACAACCGGGCCAGAGCUUGAGGACCGGCAAAUGCGGAUCGAGGACGCGUAG
rnacentral:rRNA from 1 species